UUAAUGCUACUUAAUUUUCUACACUUACAGGUUGGGACAAUCUCUGUAAAUGGGAAGAGAGAAAUUGGUGAGUUAAUUGCUAAGGCUAUGAAGAAAGUAGGCAAGAAAGGUGUCAUCACAAUUCAAGUCCUUGCUUCUAUUCUAAGAUGGAAAGACAUUAUUAAAUGAGCUAGAAGUUGUGGAGGGGAUGAAGCUAGAUAGGGGAUACAUCACUCCAUAUUUCAUUACAAACCAGAAGAACAUAAAUGUGUAAGUUUUCAUAAUCUGAUGGCUGAUAUACUAUUGCAAUUAUUAUUCACAUGCAAAGCAUAAUUCUUCAUAAAUACUUGCUUACGACUCUAUUGUGAAAAUCUCAAGCAUAAAUGCUAUUGUGAAAAUCUUGGAGUUGCCUAUGAAGGUACUGUUCUUUUCUCAAA